CUUGUCUCAAAGAUUAAGCCAUGCAUGUCUAAGUAUAAGCAAUUAUACAGCGAAACUGCGAAUGGCUCAUUAUAUAAGUUAUCGUUUAUUUGAUAGUACCUUACUACUUGGAUAACCGUGGUAAUUCUAGAGCUAAUACAUGCUAAAAAUCCCGACUUCGGAAGGGAUGUAUUUAUUAGAUUAAAAACCAAUGCCCUCUGGGCUCCUUGGUGAUUCAUGAUAACUUCUCGAAUCGCAUGGCCUUGCGCCGGCGAUGGUUCAUUCAAAUUUCUUCCCUAUCAACUUUCGAUGUUUGGGUAGUGGCCAAACAUGGUUGCAACGGGUAACGGAGGGUUAGGGCUCGACCCCGGAGAAGGAGCCUGAGAAACGGCUACUACAUCCAAGGAAGGCAGCAGGCGCGCAAAUUACCCAAUCCCGAUUCGGGGAGGUAGUGACAAUAAAUACUGAUACAGGGCUCUUUUGGGUCUUGUAAUUGGAAUGAGUACAAUUUAAAUCCCUUAACGAGGAACAAUUGGAGGGCAAGUCUGGUGCCAGCAGCCGCGGUAAUUCCAGCUCCAAUAGCGUAUAUUAAAGUUGUUGUGGUUAAAAAGCUCGUAGUUGAACCUUGGGCCUGGCUGGCCGGUCCGCCUCACCGCGUGUACUGGUCCGGCCGGGUCUUUCCCUCUGUGGAACCCCAUGCCCUUCACUGGGUGUGGCGGGGAAACAGGACUUUUACUUUGAAAAAAUUAGAGUGCUCCAGGCAGGCCUAUGCUCGAAUACAUUAGCAUGGAAUAAUGAAAUAGGACGUGCGGUUCUAUUUUGUUGGUUUCUAGGACCGCCGUAAUGAUUAAUAGGGACAGUCGGGGGCAUCAGUAUUCAAUUGUCAGAGGUGAAAUUCUUGGAUUUAUUGAAGACUAACUACUGCGAAAGCAUUUGCCAAGGAUGUUUUCAUUAAUCAGGAACGAAAGUUAGGGGAUCGAAGACGAUCAGAUACCGUCGUAGUCUUAACCAUAAACUAUGCCGACUAGGGAUCGGACGAUGUUAUUUAUUGACUCGUUCGGCACCUUACGAGAAAUCAAAGUGCUUGGGCUCCAGGGGGAGUAUGGUCGCAAGGCUGAAACUUAAAGGA
rnacentral:rRNA from 1 species